rnacentral:sRNA from 1 species
AUUAAACAAGUUCCUCAUGCUCAAAUAAUUUCCAAAGCAAGGUGGUAAGAGUUCUCUUAGAAUGUUAUAGUCAAAGAAAAGAAUAAAUGCAAUGUGGAGAUGUGAUGUGGGGAGAGACCUCUGAAAAGACGUCUGUUUCAGGUUUGCAAAGGUUUAAAAAUGGCCUAAGCCAGGGCUGGAGGGGUCAAGGGUCAGGGAAGGGAGGACAGAAGCGGGGGAGCAGGGCAGCUUUAGGACUGGAGCCUACAGAGGCAUUGGAGGUGAAAGUAGAGAGAGGAGGAGAGCCCGGGAGAAGAGGGAGCGCUGGGACAGACUGCAGCCCAGCCAACAGCAUCCUCCCUUCCUGCCUGCAGCCCUCAUCUUUGAUGGCAGCACCAACCCAGCCCAUCCCAAACACAUCGGCAGCAUCGACCCCAACUGCAACGUCUCUGAGGUGGUCAAAGAUGCCUACGACAUGGCUAAGCUCCUGUGUGACAAGUAUUACAUGGCCUCACCUGACCUGGAGAUCCAGGAGAUCAAUGCAGCCAACUCCAAACAGCCGAUUCACAUGGUCUACGUCC